AGCAGCCGCGGUAAUUCCAGCUCCAAUAGCGUAUAUUAAAGUUGUUGCAGUUAAAAAGCUCGUAGUUGAAUUUCGGGAUUGGCGCAUCGGUCGUGCCUUACGGGGUAUGAACUGGUGCAGUCAAUUUCUCACCUUCUGGAGAACCGCGAUGUCCUUAAUUGGGUGCCGCGGGGAACCAGGACCUUUACUUUAGAAAAAAUUAGAGUGUUUAAAGCAGGCAUUUUUGCUUGAAUACAUUAGCAUGGAAUAAUAAAAUAGGACGGCAUGGUUCUAUUUUGUUGGUUUCUAGGACCAUCGUAAUGAUUAAUAGGGAUAGUUGGGGGCAUUAGUAUUCAAUUGUCAGAGGUGAAAUUCUUGGAUUUAUUGAAGACUAACUACUGCGAAAGCAUUUGCCAAGGAUGUUUUCAUUAAUCAAGAACGAAGUUAGGGGAUCGAAGACGAUCAGAUACCGUCGUAGUCUUAACCAU
rnacentral:rRNA from 1 species